UGAGCUUCUAAUCAGCAGUCAGGAAUUCCC
rnacentral:piRNA from 1 species